GACGAACGCUGGCGGCGUGCUUAACACAUGCAAGUCGAGCGGUAAGGCCCUUUCGGGGGUACACGAGCGGCGAACGGGUGAGUAACACGUGGGUGACCUGCCCUCAGCUCUGGGAUAAGCCUGGGAAACCGGGUCUAAUACCGGAUAUGACUCCAUGACGCAUGUUGUGGGGUGGAAAGCCUUGUGCGGCUGAGGAUGGGCCCGCGGCCUAUCAGCUUGUUGGUGGGGUGAUGGCCUACCAAGGCGACGACGGGUAGCCGGCCUGAGAGGGCGACCGGCCACACUGGGAGUGAGACACGGCCCAGACUCCUACGGGAGGCAGCAGUGGGGAAUCUUGCGCAAUGGGCGAAAGCCUGACGCAGCGACGCCGCGUGAGGGAUGACGGCCUGGU
rnacentral:rRNA from 1 species